rnacentral:lncRNA from 1 species
CCAACAAUCCAAACUCCAAGUGUGGGGGAGGUAUGUGAGUGUCCCGAGUAAGUUCCUUUCAUGCCAAAUCUUAUUUUGGUUUAGAGAUGGUGUUAGUUCUUGCAUCUUGCUCUACUAAAAUAAUUAAAAAUAAUAAAAAAUUAAAAGAAAAAAAACAAAAGAGGAGUUACCACGGCGACAAUUCAGAAUUCUUCAUUAACAAAAUGCCAUGGUAAGUACCUUCAGGUAUGUCCUGCUUUUGACUUGAAACAAAGCCCUUCCUGGAGGUCGCACAAAGUUCACCAGUCUUGUGCUCAUGUUUACCUCUCCUCUUGAAUAUAGCUUGAUCAUGCUUUCAUACUUCCUUUAUCUAUGCUCGUAUGCUCUGAUUUGAAUAUAUGUUGCAACAUACAUUCAUAGGCCUUUUAAAUUAAACAUGGUGCUUAGGUUAAAAUGUAUUUCUUCAAUCAAACAAGACAUGGUGUUGAGUUUGAUUAAUGAACCUUAGGGUUAAUAUUUUCAUAGAUCUUGGUUGUAUAUGUGAACUAACCCUUGCAAGAAAAUCCGAACUGGUAAGUCGUUGAGCUUGAUUCAAGUGGGAAGACAAACCAAGGCAUCGGAUUCAUGUUGCACAAUAUACAAAGGAGGUACAUAUAACCCUUCAAGGGUCCACCCCCUUUUGCUUAUACUAAUGCAAUUUUAAUUUAGCCUUGUUUGAGUUAGAUCUCAUGGUGAAAAUAAAAUAAUAAUAAAAAUCCCAAAAAUAUUUGAGUUCCAAUAAAAUUAGGCUCCCUAGUUCUCGAACCAGCAGUCCCCCUUUUUGUUUCCACUUUUUUGUUUGAAUAAAGCACCAUGUACAAGCACAAGUGUGUGUGUGGGUGGGAGGAGAGGAUCUCUCAAGCUCAUCGACGUACACACACUCGAGAUCUACCACAAAGGUGUCUCACAACAUCGACUGUGCCAACAUGACAAGGGACAAGGCGAGGGCACCAGAAGAAGUCAGCUACCCCCAUGGUUUGGCCGAACCACCACUGGUCCGCCUCGAUCCCCAUCUUCUUCAAGAGCGAUGGUAUGUGCAUUCUACCUCUCUACUCCUUGGUUUAUGAGUUUAAAUGAAUUUCAUCUCUAAUCAUUAAAAAUUAAACUUAGAAUUAAAAUGAACCUUGGCUGAAAACAUUCUCCUUAUGGCUGGCAUACAUGUUCAAUAUUCCUAGCUUGUACCUGUUUGCUUGUGAACCUAUAUCUUUAGGAAAGCAUGCAACCUAGGUUGUUGAUGUUUGAGAUAUGAGAUGAUAAAAUGAACCUUGCUCUACUCUGUCCAAAGUACUUGGAAAAUUUAUCUUGAAAAACAAUGACCUAGCUAGCUCCUCAAUGAUAUGCCUCCAUCCUACCAAAGCCAUAUCUUGAUCUUAUUGAAAAACCUAUACACAUAUGCUGCUUGCUAUCAUGUUGAGCUUUGCCAAAUUAUUGUGACCCUUGUGGAAUAUUCUUCAUACUUUCAUGAUCAAGAUCAUAUACACCCCACUUUCAUAUACUAGACUUCUAUACUAGAAGCUUGUAACAUCCCA